ensembl:snoRNA
ACGCGCCGCCUUUGAUUCCCCGCCGCACCUCUUGCGUGGCGCCAGGGGCCGGGCUGUGGCGCCAGAGCAUAUGCUUGGGCAUAACUGGGGCCGCCCGGACCCCUAAGGGCGGCCCUUUUAACCGCGAGCAACACGG